CAUGCGCAGCUACACAUGCAGUCGAGCGAGCUCUUCGGAGCUAGCGGCGGACGGGUUAGUAACGCGUGGGAACGUGCCCUUCACUGCGGAAUAGCCACUGGAAACGGUGAGUAAUACCGCAUACGCCCUUCGGGGGAAAGAUUUAUCGGUGAAGGAUCGGCCCGCGUUAGAUUAGAUAGUUGGUGGGGUAACGGCCUACCAAGUCUACGAUCUAUAGCUGGUUUUAGAGGAUGAUCAGCAACACUGGGACUGAGACACGGCCCAGACUCCUACGGGAGGCAGCAGUGGGGAAUCUUGGACAAUGGGCGCAAGCCUGAUCCAGCCAUGCCGCGUGAGUGAUGAAGGCCUUAGGGUCGUAAAGCUCUUUCGCCAGAGAUGAUAAUGACAGUAUCUGGUAAAGAAACCCCGGCUAACUCCGUGCCAGCAGCCGCGGUAAUACGGAGGGGGUUAGCGUUGUUCGGAAUUACUGGGCGUAAAGCGCACGUAGGCGGAUCAGAAAGUUGGGGGUGAAAUCCCGGGGCUCAACCCCGGAACUGCCUCCAAAACUCCUGGUCUUGAGUUCGAGAGAGGUGAGUGGAAUUCCGAGUGUAGAGGUGAAAUUCGUAGAUAUUCGGAGGAACACCAGUGGCGAAGGCGGCUCACUGGCUCGAUACUGACGCUGAGGUGCGAAAGUGUGGGGAGCAAACAGGAUUAGAUACCCUGGUA
rnacentral:rRNA from 1 species